rnacentral:rRNA from 1 species
AGAGUUUGAUCCUGGCUCAGGAUGAACGCUAGCUACAGGCUUAACACAUGCAAGUCGAGGGGCAGCAUGGUCUUAGCUUGCUAAGGCCGAUGGCGACCGGCGCACGGGUGAGUAACACGUAUCCAACCUGCCGUCUACUCUUGGACAGCCUUCUGAAAGGAAGAUUAAUACAAGAUGGCAUCAUGAGUCCGCAUGUUCACAUGAUUAAAGGUAUUCCGGUAGACGAUGGGGAUGCGUUCCAUUAGAUAGUAGGCGGGGUAACGGCCCACUAGUCUUCGAUGGAUAGGGGUUCUGAGAGGAAGGUCCCCCANAUUGGAACUGAGCACGGUCCAAACUCCGUACGGAGCA